AUGCCUGUUACAUCUCUGUCUACUUUUCUUACUCCAUGUAGGUUUCCCAGAGACUAUGGGUUGAGGAGGAAUUGGAAGUUUGUCGGCUUAGACCUGGUGUCAUUCCAUCAGUGUUAAACUUCCUGGCUCAUCUUGGAAGAGAACGUGCCAGAAAGACCACGACCAAGCAGCCUUGAGAUCUUAGGCAGCGUCUCCCUGAGGUCCCUCUCUAUCUCCCCACACAUCCACCAACCACUGGAACACAUCUCCAAAGUUCUGUCGGGCCAGCUCAGCUUCCCCUCAGAAGAAGUGCUGCCACCUGCCAGAUGAAGGAGCCUUUUGAGAGGCAGCUGGCAUCGUGAUUGGACUGUACUUUGGUCUGUUCCAAUCCAGCUUCAGCUCCAGAGACGGCAGGCGGGACGAGUCAACGGAGGCCUGGUGGACGAAGGCAUGCAGCUGAGUACAAUCCAGAAAACAACAGAGGAGGAGUGCAGGGCCAGAACAGAGUAGCAUCGUAUGUCUCUUAGAAAACAUCAUAGUAUAGCCUUUGGUAUGAUAAAACGCCAUCAUAUACAUCGUAUAUUGUACAAAUAACAAGUCAAAGGAAAGAGACAUACAUUGUAGAAUUGUAGUAAUUGUGAGCUGACUGAUUUACUGAUUAUCAGUAUUUUAUUUUUUACUGAUUUACGGUAAUAAAUACAUUUAAAAAUGG